ACUUUGGUAUGAGGCUUGAAGAACAGAACCAGCCAGUUUUGGCCUAUGAUAGUCAGUCAUAUCAAGAGAGAUAAUCAUAGGGAAUGUAUGUCCUUGGAAAUGUUCCUUUAGUCAAACACUGAAAAAUUUUCCUGCAGAAAGUACAGCACAGUGUCCUGGCUCCUGGAAAAUCCAGAAACAAAUCUUCAUGGUCCAAGCCCAGGUCUUCAGAUUGUGCAGUAUUCAUCUAAGACAAUGAGUGUGUGCCUUUGGGUAAAUAUUCAAAGAGCAGAGAACUCUCUUCUCCCAGCAUGUCAGCUUUCAAGGACAAUAAGCUAUUCUUGCUCAUGAGAGCUGCUCGCAAGUUAGCAA